AGGCACAUGGUUUGUUGCUCGGAUGGGUACCGACAAUGGUUCUUGCAGGAGUGCUGAUAUUUAUAUCAUCAUUCUCAAUUGGAAUGGGAGCAGUUCCAUGGUUGAUCAUGUCUGAGAUCUUUCCAAUAAAUAUAAAGGGAGUUGGUGGGAGCUUGGUGGUGCUGGUGAACUGGUUAGGUGCCUGGCUAGUUUCUUACACUUUCAACUUUCUCAUGAGCUGGAGUUCUUCAGGUACAUUUUUUCUGUACUCUGGAGUCUCAUUGACAGCCAUUCUAUUUGUGGCCAAGUUUGUGCCAGAAACCAAAGGAAAAACACUAGAAGAAAUUCAAGAAUCUAUCAAUUCAUAGAAAGGGAGAAAGAUCCAGUCUAUUGGUAAUUAGAUUGGAAAUUCUUUUGAAGGCCUUAAAAAUUUUGAUGAUGCAUAGCAGCAAAAGGUCCAGUCUCAAACCCAG
rnacentral:misc_RNA from 1 species